rnacentral:rRNA from 1 species
CCUACGGGGGGCAGCAGUAGGGAAUAUUGCUCAAUGGGGGAAACCCUGAAGCAGCAACGCCGCGUGGAGGAUGAAGGUUUUCGGAUUGUAAACUCCUUUUGUUAGAGAAGAUAAUGACGGUAGCUAACGAAUAAGCACCGGCUAACUCCGUGCCAGCAGCCGCGGUAAUACGGAGGGGGCAAGCGUUACUCGGAACCACUGGGCGUAAAGAGCGCGUAGGCGGGAUAGCAAGUCAGAUGUGAAAUCCUAUGGCUUAACCCUAGAACUGCAGGUGAAACUGUUAUUCUAGAGUAUGGGAGAGGUAGGUUGAAUUCUUGGUGUAGGGGUCAAAUCCGUAGAGAUCAAGCGGAAUACUCAUUGCGAAGGCGACCUGCUAGACCAUACCUGCCGCUGAUGCGCGACAGCGUGGCGAGCAAACAGGAUUAGAUACCCCUGUAGUC